rnacentral:rRNA from 1 species
UACAGAGGUCUCAAGCGUUGUUCGGAUUCAUUGGGCGUAAAGGGGUGCGUAGGCGGCGCGGUAAGUCGGGUGUGAAAUCUCGGAGCUUAACUCCGAAAACUGCACUCGAUACUGCUUUGCUCGAGGACUGGAGAGGAGAUUGGAAUUCACGGUGUAGCAGUGAAAUGCGUAGAUAUCGUGAGGAAGACCAGUGGCGAAGGCGGAUCUCUG